rnacentral:rRNA from 1 species
AUUGAACGCUGGCGGAAUGCUUUACACAUGCAAGUCGGGCGGCAGCGCGGGGGCAACCCUGGCGGCGAGCGGCGAACGGGUGAGUAAUACAUCGGAACGUGUCCUUGAGUGGGGGAUAGCUCGGCGAAAGCCGGAUUAAUACCGCAUAAGCUCUGAGGAGGAAAGCGGGGGACUGGUAACGGCCUCGCGCUGUUGGAGCGGCCGAUGCCGGAUUAGCUAGUUGGUGGGUAAAGGCCCACCGAAGGCGACGAUCCGUAGCUGGUCUGAGAGGAUGAUCAGCCACACUGGAACUGAGACACGGUCCAGACUCCUACGGGAGGCAGCAGUGGGGAAUUUUGGACAAUGGGGCAACCUGAUCCAGCCAUUCCGCGUGAGUGAAGAAGGCCUU